UACGUAGGGAGCAAGCGUUUGUCCGGAAUCAUUGGGCGUAAAGCGCGCGUAGGCGGCCCUGUAAGUCCGUUGUGAAAGUCAAAGGCUCAACCUUUGAAAGCCGAUGGAUACUGUAGGGCUAGAGUCCGGAAGAGGCGAGUGGAAUUCCUGGUGUAGCGGUGGAAUGCGCAGAUAUCAGGAGGAACACCAAUAGCGAAGGCAGCUCGCUGGGACGGUACUGACGCUAAGGCGCGAAAAGCGUGGGGAGCGAACAGG
rnacentral:rRNA from 1 species